rnacentral:tRNA from 1 species
GUCCCUGUAGCUCAAUGGAUAGAGCAGAUCUCUCCUAAGGAUAAGAUGGAGGUUCGACUCCUCCCGGGGACACCA